GGCCCCGCGGGCGGACGGGCGCGGCGGGCCCCGGGGGCUGGGGAAUCCCUGAAUCAGUUGGGGGCUCCCCGGUAGGGGUGGGGAAACCAAAGGACCGAUUCCGGGGUCGGAGUCCGCGGCUCGGCGCGCGGCGAGUGUGAUUUGAAUAACAAAAGGUCGCCUCUCCCCGAGCUCCGGCGACCGGAAUCGCCCAGCCGGGAGCCAGGCCGCCGGGCCCGCCAAAGGGACGCAGCUGGUAGUGGAAAAGGACUGGCAAACGCUCUUUCGGGGCAGUCACCAGAGAAAAGCUGGAGUCCCAAGCCUCUGGUUUCAACACCACAGGCUGCUACAAAUCCUCAGAUGAGCAGGAAGGUUUUGGGCACAGCCCAUUCACCGCAGACAUGAGACAACUUAUACCAACCUUGUUACAAAGCAGGACCCAUCUCAGAUGUCACCUUCUCUGUGAAGCCUUCCCUGACCCAUCCAGACACUUGGGAGUCCCUCCUACAAUGGAGAGCUCCUGGAUGUGGAUACAGCCUGCAUGACCCUGGGAAGGAAUGGUACAUGCCCUGGGCUCUCCUGUGAGCUCCCUCAGGUAGAGGCUGGGACUCACUGGCCUUGCAUCCGAGUGCCCUGCUCCGACCUUACCAGCCCCAGUGCUCUCUCCAGCCGGAAUUCCAUACCCACGUCACUGCUCCACCCUUAACAUCAACUAAAAAGUAUGGAAUGGACUCAGGAGGCCUGUAAGGAAGGUGCCCGUGGGCGUGAUCUGGUAGCGGGUGACACCUACUGGAGAACUGUGAUUCUGCAGCCUAGCCUUAUAAAUACCACACAGACAGAUCCUGGCUGCCAGGCAGGCUCAGGGCUGGGUUUUAUCGAGUACUCCAGAGGUUUGAGAUUCCAUUACUUUCCAGAAACAAAGGUUAAACUAAACAAUACUCCCCAAAAAGGGCCUUAUAUAAUGUAUGUUACUAUGCUACCACUAACAAUAAGCAUAUGCAGAGGACUUACAAGUCCAUUAUCUCAUUUGAUCCUUUAAAAAUUGGGUAAGGCAGAUAGAAUGGGUAUUGUUGUCACAAUACCUAUUUUACAGGUGAGGUGCGGUAGAAGAGUGUAAAAUUGAAACCUGGGGAAGUCAUUGAAGUGGGGAGGGGAGGUCCAAAGGUUUAGCUUUGCCUAUAGUGUUUUAAUAUUUUAUAAGGAGAAUGAGAUGAAAUAUUAUUACUUACAUUACAAUGAUGAAUAUUAAAAGAGAAAGAAAGUGUAGGCUCAGAUCUCAAGUUGAAUUCUAGCUCCAUUACUUUCUAGAUAGGGGCAAGUGCCUUACCCUCUCUGAAUUGCAGUUUUCUUAACCUGAAAAGUAGGGCUAGUAAAUAGUAUAUCUCCCAGGGUUGAUGUGAGAAUUAAGCAAACCAAUAGGAGGCUGGUCCCUGGCUUGGCUCAACACACUUGUGUCUCCAUUUACCUGGCGGCGAGAGCCUGAAAAGUUCUGGAUAAUUUUUUUUUUUAAGCUUAAAUCACAAGGAAAAAAAAAAAGAUAAAAAACCAAGGAUAACAGUAGUCAUUCUAAUUAAAACGACGGUAAAUAAGUAGGCUUAUAGGGAGAAAAAAGGAAUUAAAGCCAUUGACCGCACGCAGCUGAAUAGCAGAGAACAUUAGCUGGUAGCCACUAGCUGAGUGACUGCUACUCUUCCCAAGGGAGGUCCUGCAAACAGAGCCUUGGCUGGCGCGAGUGAGGUCCCAGCAUGGCCUGUAAUCCUAGUGGCUCCAUCACAGACUAUUCCCACUGGGCUUUCCUGGGGCAGAGUGGCCUUUUCAGUGAGUCACUUUGACUCCAGUGGGAAAAGCCUUCUGCUGCCUCUCUUUUUGGGGGCAUGAUUACACUUAAAAGUGGAGGGAAAAAAGCCCUCAAGAAACAGAUG